AGAAUCAACGCUGGCGGCGUGCCUAACACAUGCAAGUCGAACGAGAAAGUGGAGCAAUCCAUCAGUAAAGUGGCGCACGGGUGAGUAACACGUGACUAACCUACCUUUUAGUGGGGGAUAACCUAGGGAAACCUGGGCUAAUACCGCAUAAUACCUACGGGUCAAAGCAGCAAUGCGCUGAAAGAGGGGGUCGCGGUCGAUUAGUUAGUUGGCAGGGUAAUGGCCUACCAAGACUGUGAUCGAUAUCCGGCCUGAGAGGGCGCACGGACACACUGGAACUGAAACACGGUCCAGACUCCUACGGUAGGCAGCAGUGGGGAAUUUUGCGCAAUGGGGGAAACCCUGACGCAGCAACGCCGCGUGGAGGAUGAAGUCCCUUGGGACGUAAACUCCUUUCGAUCGGGACGAUAAUGACGGUACCGGAAGAAGAAGCCCCGGCUAACUUCGUGCCAGCAGCCGC
rnacentral:rRNA from 1 species